UACGAAGGGGGCUAGCGUUGCUCGGAAUCACUGGGCGUAAAGCGCACGUAGGCGGCUUCUUAAGUCAGGGGUGAAAUCCUGGAGCUCAACUCCAGAACUGCCUUUGAUACUGAGGAGCUUGAGUCCGGGAGAGGUGAGUGGAACUGCGAGUGUAGAGGUGAAAUUCGUAGAUAUUCGCAAGAACACCAGUGGCGAAGGCGGCUCACUGGCCCGGUACUGACGCUGAGACGCGAAAGCGUGGGGAGCGAACAGG
rnacentral:rRNA from 1 species